AUGUUUACUGGUUCGUUUUCACCGGAGGAGGCAGCUAGAAAUCCUGUUUUGUCAGUAGGUUGGCGUACAAGGAGCUUAAAGGUGAUGGAUAAGGCUUUCACCCAUCCGAUACUGAGUAAUCCGUUAAUCGAUCCCCAAGGGAAGGGUACUUGUAUCUAUAGCACAUUGGUGUUUCAAGCAGGCCAGCCCACUCUUAACAACAAUGCAAUCAGUCCAUUCACUCAAAACCGGAACCCACACUCAAAGUUAAGGUCAAUACUCCAUUUAUACAUACAAGCCUCGACAGAGGGGAAGCACCUACAGCAUAAUCACUCAUGA
rnacentral:rRNA from 1 species